AACGAACGCUGGCGGCAUGCCUAACACAUGCAAGUCGAACGAGACCUUCGGGUCUAGUGGCGCACGGGUGCGUAACGCGUGGGAACCUGCCCUUAGGUUCGGAAUAACUCCCCGAAAGGGGUGCUAAUACCGGAUAAUGUCUUCGGACCAAAGAUUUAUCGCCUUUGGAUGGGCCCGCGUUGGAUUAGCUAGUUGGUAGGGUAAAAGCCUACCAAGGCGACGAUCCAUAGCUGGUCUGAGAGGAUGAUCAGCCACACUGGGACUGAGACACGGCCCAGACUCCUACGGGAGGCGGCGGUGGGGAAUAUUGGACAAUGGGCGAAAGCCUGAUCCAGCAAUGCCGCGUGAGUGAUGAAGGCCUUAGGGUUGUAAAGCUCUUUUACCCGGGAUGAUAAUGACAGUACCGGGAGAAUAAGCUCCGGCUAACUCCGUG
rnacentral:rRNA from 1 species